rnacentral:rRNA from 1 species
AGAGUUUGAUCCUGGCUCAGGACGAACGCUGGCGGCGUGCCUAACACAUGCAAGUCGAACGGCCCGACCUGACGGAAUCCUUCGGGAUGAAGACAGGAUGCGGGCAGUGGCGGACGGGUGAGUAACGCGUGGAGAACCUGUCUAUCAGUCCGGGAUAACCUGGCGAAAGUCGGGCUAAUACCGGAUGGCCUUUAGAGAUAGCAUUAUCUUUAAAGGAAAGGUCCUACGGGACUGCUGGAAGGAGGCUCCGCGUCGGAUUAGCUAGCUGGUGGGGUAACGGCUCACCAGGGCGACGAUCCGUAGCUGGUCUGAGAGGACGAUCAGCCACACUGGGACUGAGACACGGCCCAGACUCCUACGGGAGGCAGCAGUGGGGAAUCUUCCGCAAUGGGCGAAAGCCUGACGGAGCAACGCCGCGUGAACGAAGAAGGCCUUCGGGUCGUAAAGUUCUGUCUUCAGGGAGGAACCCUCAUGGGAGGGAAUGCCCAUGAGCUGACGGUACCUGGGGAGGAAGCCCUGGCUAACUACGUGCCAGCAGCCGCGGUAAUACGUAGAGGGCGAGCGUUGUCCGGAAUCACUGGGCGUAAAGGGUACGCAGGCGGAAAUACAAGUCAAAUGUGAAAGGUACCGGCUCAACCGGUGAAAUGCAUUUGAAACUGUAUAUCUUGAGUAUAGGAGAGGAGAGCGGAAUUCCUGGUGUAGCGGUGGAAUGCGUAGAUAUCAGGAAGAACACCAGUGGCGAAGGCGGCUCUCUGGCCUACAACUGACGCUCAUGUACGAAAGCUGGGGGAGCGAACGGGAUUAGAUACCCCGGUAGUCCCAGCCGUAAACGAUGGACACCAGGUGUUGGGGGUUCGAAUCCUUCAGUGCCGCAGUUAACGCAAUAAGUGUCCCGCCUGGGGAGUACGGUCGCAAGACUGAAACUCAAAGGAAUUGACGGGGGCCCGCACAAGCGGUGGAGCAUGUGGUUUAAUUCGAUGCAACGCGAAGAACCUUACCGAGACUUGACAUCCCGUGACCAUCUACGAAAGUAGAGUCUAGCUUCGGCUACACGGAGACAGGUGGUGCAUGGUUGUCGUCAGCUCGUGUCGUGAGAUGUUGGGUUAAGUCCCGCAACGAGCGCAACCC